GACGAACGCUGGCGGCGUGCUUAACACAUGCAAGUCGAACGGAAAGGCCCUGCUUUUGUGGGGUGCUCGAGUGGCGAACGGGUGAGUAACACGUGAGUAACCUGCCCUUGACUUUGGGAUAACUUCAGGAAACUGGGGCUACUACAGGAUAGGAGCUCCUGCUGCAUGGUGGGGGUUGGAAAGUUUCGGCGGUUGGGGAUGGACUCGCGGCUUAUCAGCUUGUUGGUGGGGUAGUGGCUUACCAAGGCUUUGACGGGUAGCCGGCCUGGGAGGGUGACCGGCCACAUGGGGACUGAGGUACGGCCCAGAGUCGUACAGGAGGCAGCGGUGGGGAAUAUGGCACAAUGGGCGGAAGCCUGAUGCAGCAACGCCGCGGUCGGGAUGACGGCCUUCGGGUUGUAAACCGCUUUCGCCUGUGACGAAGCGGGAGUGACGGUAAUGGGUGAAGAAGCACCGGCUAACUACGUG
rnacentral:rRNA from 1 species